rnacentral:rRNA from 1 species
UAGGGAAUCUUCCGCAAUGGACGAAAGUCUGACGGAGCGACGCCGCGUGAGCGAAGAAGGUCUUCGGAUCGUAAAGCUCUGUUGUUAGGGAAGAAGAAGUGCCGUUCGAACAGGGCGGCACGGUGACGGUACCUAACGAGAAAGCCCCGGCUAACUACGUGCCAGCAGCCGCGGUAAUACGUAGGGGGCGAGCGUUGUCCGGAAUUAUUGGGCGUAAAGCGCGCGCAGGCGGUCCCUUAAGUCUGAUGUGAAAGCCCACGGCUUAACCGUGGAGGGUCAUUGGAAACUGGGGGACUUGAGUGCAGAAGGGGAGAGCGGAAUUCCACGUGUAGCGGUGAAAUGCGUAGAGAUGUGGAGGAACACCAGUGGCGAAGGCGGCUCUCUGGUCUGUAACUGACGCUGAGGCGCGAAAGCGUGGGGAGCAAACAGG